UACGUAGGGGGCGAGCGUUGUCCGAAUUUAUUGGGCGUAAAGCGCGUGUAGGCGGCUCUUUAAGUCAGAUGUGAAAUCCUGCGGCUCAACCGCAGAACUGCAUUUGAUACUGGAGGGCUUGAGUGUGGGAGAGGAAAGUGGAAUUCCUGGUGUAGCGGUGAAAUGCGUAGAUAUCAGGAGGAACACCCGUGGCGAAGGCGGCUUUCUGGCCCACCACUGACGCUGAGACGCGAAAGCUAGGGGAGCGAACGGG
rnacentral:rRNA from 1 species